AGAAGACAAACAGAUUGGGGACACGUCUGCUGUUUCAGUAGCAUCUUGUCCUCCUCUUCUCCACUCAGCGCUUUCUUAUCUCCCUCCAACAGUACAUUGGUUUCAUUUAGCAGAAAUAAGGGAAGAGUCAAAGAUGGGAUUGUCUUUUAUCUGCCAGUGAAUCGUGCUGACAAAGCAAGCCGCUCCAUACCUCUCUUCUCCUCUCCUCUCUCCUCUCUUCAUACCUCUCCUCUCUCCAUACCUCUCUUCUCCUCUCCUCUCUCUCCUCUCUCCAUAUCUCUCUUCUCCUCUCCUCUCCUCUCCUCUCUUCUCUCCAUACAUCUCUUCUCCUCUCCUCUCUCCUCUCUCCUCUCCAGACCUCUCUUCUCCUCUCCUCGCUCCUCUCUCCAUACCUCUCUUCUCCUCUCCUCUCCUCUCUCUCCUCUCUCCAUAUCUCUCUUCUCCUCUCCUCUCUUCUCCUCUCUUCUCUCCAUACCUCUCUUCUCCUCUCCUCUCUCCUCUCUCCUCUCCAGACCUCUCUUCUCCUCUCCUCGCUCCUCUCUCCAUACCUCUCUUCUCCUCUCCUCUCUUCUCCUCUCCUCUCCUCUGUCCAUACCUCUCUUCUCCUCUCCUCUCUCUUCUCUCCAUACCUCUCUUCUAUUGUCCUCUCUCCUCUCUCCAUACCUCUCUUCUCCUCUCCUCUCCUCUCCUCUCUCCAUACCUCUCUUUUCUUCUCUUCUCUCCAUACCUCUCUUCUCUUGUCCUCUCUCCUCUCUCCAUACCUCUCUUCUCCUCUCCUCUCCUCUGCUCUCUCCAUACCUCUCUUCUCUUCUCCUCUCCUCUCUCUUCUCUCCAUACCUCUCUUCUCAUGUCCUCUCUCCUCUCUCCAUACCUCUCUUCUCCUGUCCUCUCUCUUCUCUCCAUAUCUCUCUUCUCUCCAUACCUCUCUUCUCCUCUCCUCUCUCUUCUCUCCAUACAUCUCUUCUCCUCUCCUCUCCUCUCUCCAUACCUCUCUUCUCCUCUCCUCUCUCUUCUCUCCAUACCUCUCUUCUCCUGUCCUCUCUCCAUACCUUUUUUCUCCUCUCCUCUCUCUUCUCUCCAUACCUCUCUUCUCCUCUCCUCUCCUCUCUCCAUAUGUGA
rnacentral:lncRNA from 8 species